rnacentral:rRNA from 1 species
GACGUAGGGGGCGAGCGUUGUCCGGAUUUAUUGGGCGUAAAGAGCUCGUAGGCGGCUCAGCAAGUCAGGUGUGAAACCUCCAGGCUUAACCUCGAGAUGUCAUCGGAAACCAUCUGGCUAGAGUCCGGAAGAGGAGAGUGGAAUUCCUGGUGUAGCGGUGAAAUGCGCAGAUAUCAGGAAGAACACCAAUGGCGAAAGCAGCUCUCUGGGACGGUACUGACGCUGAGACGCGAAAGCGUGGGGAGCGAACAGG